GACUUUGGAACUUACUUUUCUUUCUUUUCUGAGUUUUCUCUCUCUUCCCCUCGUCUUCCUCUGGGGCUCUCUCUCCCUCACACCUUUUAUUCCUCCCAUUUUCUUUUCUUUCUUAUCUCUCUCUCAAGUCUCACCCUCUGUCUUCAUCCCUCUCUGGCUCUUUCUCCCUCACCAUUUAUUGAGUUUAUUCAGCCACUCUUUUUCACAGGCUCAACAUUCUAGCCAUCACCAACACACCACUGCACCUCCGGCAUCCUCGGCUCACCACCAUCUUCAGUCGACCUCGAUGGCACCACAAUCGUCGCACCACGGCACCACCCACAAGGAACGCCUCCCAGAUCCGUUGCCACUUGCCAUCAAUUUUAAUUAUCUUUUUUCAGAUCUGAGUUUUGUCAAUUUGUGCAUGUUCUAUGGAAGAAAUGGUAUCUGCAGAAAAUAAGCGGAGUUGCGGAAAUCGAGAGAAAAUUGUGCGAAAUAGAAGCAAAUUGGAGUUUCCUACAAAAGGACGAAAUAGGCAAUGCGGGUCAAUACCAUUAAAGGAGCGGAAUCUAAUUGCCUCUGAUAGUAUAUGCGGAAGUGCAUAGAGAAGAGAAAAGAAAUGAGAAGAGAAAAGAAAAGAAAAGAAAAAUAAUAAUACAUCUUAAUUAAUUAAGUUAAUUAAUCAAUUGAUUAGUUACUUAAUUAAUCAAGUUAUGUGGUAGUUAGUCAUUCAUGCACGUGCAGCAUGCAUCUUAAUUAUGCUGACCUUAAUUAGGCAAGCUUUAAUUUCUUUUUCUUUACGUGGCAACCAUCAGAUGACCCAUUUCUUUCUCUUCCUACAUGGACCAGCCACCAAGUUACACCUCAUCAUCUCCUCCUUUUCUUCUUUGCCGAGACCACACAUAACAGAUCACCUCAAUUAAUCAUCCAACCCUCUAUCUCACGAAACGAAUGGCCACAAACCCACUAUAUAUAUUGAAGCACCCUCAUUCUGUUGGAGGAGAACCCCAGACGGGCAGCGCCGCACAACCAAAGGGGCAGCCCUUAGGGCUGUUCUCUCCUAAUCUCUCCCAAUUUCUUCCAUUUCCUUUUUCUUUUCUCAUAUCCUCACCAACAAAUCUUCAUCAAUUUGUCAAGGAGCAUCAAGAUUUGAACUUGGGUAAAAAUGAGAAGCCAUAAAUCAAGGCUUGUUAUAUUUGCUCCAUAAUAGCAAUUGUGACUUGUCCUUGUAACUUCUCAUUUCUCUUCACCUUACUCUCUUUAAUUUGAUGAAUAUUGUUGUUGAUUAGUUGAUGGGUAGUGAGUAGUUUAUUUAGGAAACUAGGGUUUGAACCCUAGCAUGAAUUUAAUGUAAUAAAUAUGUUUUGAUUUAAUGGUUUUCAAUUUCGUGUUUAGCAUAUGUUCUAUUCCAUAAUAUUUGGCUUAGAUGCAUGCUUAGGAGCUUGAUUAACUCUUGAAUGUGUAGAUGAGCAUGUCUAGAACAAGUUAGGGGACCUAAUCACUUCUCUAAUUUAUGGCUAGGACACUUGUUUAGAACAUGGUUAGUUACAAUACCAAUUCCGAUUGCCGUAUUGGUUAGCUUGGGAACCUUGAUUCUAGGACUCUUCGCCUUUUGGUGCAACUAGAGGCCCUAAUAAGCUCUAGAUUGUCCCAAUUGAGUUUCUACGGCCCUUGAUCCGGAGUAGGAAUACCCUAUAAGGAAUCUAAUGACCCAUGAGCCUUGAAAAGCCUUGGGUACGGUUCUUGAUGCUAUCAUGAAUUGAAUCACCAUUGUCGGAAUAUAUUUGUGCAUUGAAUUUGGCUAGGAGGAUACCCUAGUGACCUAAUUUCCAUUUCUUAUUUUUCUUUUCUUUAUUUAAUUUAGUUGUUAGCUAAAGCUUUCAUUUAAAUUCUUGCAAUUUAGUUAUUAGAAAAUUACAAUCACAAUUUUGAAUGACAAUUUCUCACUCAUUUGUACAUAUCCACCACUAGGCUCUUAGUUUUGAUUAGGCUUUGGUGAAAAUCAAAGCCGAGCAUUGCUAAGCCUUGGUGCCUUAGAAUAACAUUUUUAUUUAUUUUCUUUUUCUUUUUCUUUUGUUUGCUUAGUGACUUUAGUUCCGACUAUCCAAGGAUUGUGGGUUAGCCACUAAUCCCCGUGGUACGAUAAUUUUGGGCUUAAUACUUCCCUAUCUUGACAAUGAUAUGUACGCUUGCGUAAAUGUGUAUUCAAGUCAAUGGCGCCGUUGCCGGGGAUUAGGAUUUAAUAGCCUUAAUCCCUUGGUAAAUCGGUUCUUUAGGUCACUUUAGCAUAUUUUUAUUUCUUUGUUAUUAAAAAAAAAAUAGUCGUUGGUCUAAAUAGUUUAUUAUAUUUUGUGUGCUUAUUUUUCUAUUUUCUUUGUAAUUUUUGGUUACUAAUCUCACUUGUGGAAACUCAUAGGCAUAUAUUUUUCUCACAUUGAGCUAUGGAUCGUUGGAGCUAUGGAUGGGAUGACUUGAGGGGAUAUGAGCAAGAAUGUUUCUAUGGUGGAGGUCAUCAUGAGUGGAAUUCUCAUGCGGUGGGUUCUAUGUCUUCUUGCAAUGAAACUUGUGCUCUGUGUAAUUCUCCGUGGCAUUCACCUUUUGAGUGCUCUUUGAGAUUUGAGUGGCCGGAUUUUAUGCAAGAGUGUGAGUACAAGAUGGGCAUGUAUCAAGAGACAUUUGUACCUGAUGCAUAUCCACAAGAUGAAGCUUAUGAGCCUAGGAAGGAAUUCGUUGAAGGACUACUAGCUCAAUUGCAAGCCUCCUGAGAUCUAUUACAAGCCUCUCAAACUAGAAUUUCACAAGAGACCGUGGUUCCCGAAGCAUAUCCUCAUGAGCAAGUGUAUGAGUCUAGGAGGCCUUCUCUUGAAGAAUUGCUAGCGUCUCAAGCUCGAUUGCAAGCUUCUCAAGAAAUGCUUAUACAUUCCAAUGAGCAACUUGAAGCAAGUUUUGACUCGAGCACAGAAGGAUAAACUCAUCAAAACCGCCAAGCAAUAUGUGUGGGGUGACCCAUACUGAUGAAAGUAUUGUGCUGAUCAAUUGGUAAGAAGGUGCCCUCAUGAUUCUAAAUUUCAUUCUAUUCUCACCUUUUGUCAUUCCUAUGCAUGUGCUGGACAUUUUGGAUCAAAGAGAACAGCUCUUAAGGUCCUUGAGAGUGGAUUUUAUUGGCCUACCUUGUUCAA